ACGUAGGGCGCAAGCGUUAUCCGGAAUUAUUGGGCGUAAAGAGCUCGUAGGCGGUUUGUCGCGUCUGCCGUGAAAGUCCGGGGCUCAACUCCGGAUCUGCGGUGGGUACGGGCAGACUAGAGUGAUGUAGGGGAGACUGGAAUUCCUGGUGUAGCGGUGAAAUGCGUAGAGAUCGGGAGGAACACCAGUGGCGAAGGCGGCUACCUGGACCAGCACUGACACUGAGGCACGAAAGCGUGGGGAGCAAACAGGA
rnacentral:rRNA from 1 species